rnacentral:rRNA from 1 species
UGUGGGCUUCCACUUUUCUCGCGUCAGGAUGGGACUGCGGCCGAUCAGGCUGUUGGCGGGGUAAUGGCCCACCAAACCUGUAACCGGUACGGGCCUUGAGAGAGGUGGCCCGGAGAUGGACACUGAGACAAGGGUCCAGGUCCUACGGGGCGCAGCAGGCGCGAAACCUUCGCAAUGCGCGAAAGCGUGACGAGGUUAAUCCGAGUGGCUUCCGCUUAGGAAGUCUUUUGCCGACUCUAAAAAGGUCGGAGAAUAAGGGGAGGGGCAAGUCUGGUGUCAGCCGCCGCGGUAAUACCAGCUCCUCGAGUGUGGUCGGGGCGAUUAUUGGGCCUAAAGCAUCCGUAGCCGGUUCCGUAGGUCUCCUGCAAAAUCCAGUCGCUCAACGAUUGGCCCGCAGGAGAUACCGCGGGACUAGGAGGCGGGAGAGGUGGACGGUACUCCACGUGUAGGGGUAAAAUCCUUUGAUCCGUGGAAGACCACCAGUGGCGAAGGCGGUCCACCAGAACGCGCUCGACGGUGAGGGAUGAAAGCUGGGGGAGCGAACCGGAUUAGAUACCCGGGUAGUCCCAGCCGUAAACGAUGCGAGCUAGAUGAUCCAAUCGCAAAUCGCGAUUGGA